AUUAUUAAUGGUGGCCAAUGGUAGUAUAUGAUAUGUGGAUCAUGAUUGUAGGUUUAGAUGCCUGAGGUCUAC